rnacentral:rRNA from 1 species
UACGGGGGGGGCAAGCGUUGUUCGGAAUUACUGGGCGUAAAGGGCUCGUAGGCGGCCAACUAAGUCAGACGUGAAAUCCCUCGGCUUAACCGGGGAACUGCGUCUGAUACUGGAUGGCUUGAGUUCGGGAGAGGGAUGUGGAAUUCCAGGUGUAGCGGUGAAAUUCGUAGAUAUCGGGAGGAACACCAGUGGCGAAGGCGGCGAUCUGGGCAGACACUGACGCUGAGGUGCGAAAGCGUGGGGAGCAAACAGG